GAUGAACGCUGACAGAAUGCUUAACACAUGCAAGUUGAUGGGGAAGUGGUGCUUGCACCAUGGUAACCAUGGCGGACGGGUGGGUAACGCGUAAGGUACUUACCUGCGGGACCGGGAUAACAGCAGGAAACUGCUGACAAGACCGGAUAAGGUCAUUAAGCUGCAUAGCUUAGUGAUGAAAGGAGACGCCUGCGGAGAGCCUUGCGUCCUAUUAGCUAGUUGGAGGGGUAACGGCCCACCAAGGCGAAGAUAGGUAGCCGGCCUGAGAGGGUGGACGGCCACAAGGGGACUGAGAUACGGCCCUUACUCCUACGGGAGGCAGCAGUGGGGAAUAUUGGACAAUGGGGGCAACCCUGAUCCAGCAAUUCUGUGUGCACGAAGACGGUUUUCGGAUUGUAAAGUGCUUUCAGCAGGGAAGAAGGAAGUGACGGUACCUGCAGAAGAAGCGACGGCUAAAUACGUG
rnacentral:rRNA from 1 species